UAAGUCACCUGCGUCGCAGAUUAGUAAUUCUGCGACGCAGAGGAGGUAAAAAAAAUUCGGAAGUUUUUAAUUAUUCCUCACCCACGCGUACUGCACCCUAAUUUGUCGAAGAACAAAACAAACAGGCGCAGCUACCUUCACGACUUCACCCUCAUCCUCCAUCGAUCUUCGAUCUUCUUCACCCUCAUCCUCCAUCGAUCUUCUUCACCCUACACCAGGCGCAGCUACAUUUAGAGAGAGUUUCGCUGGAACCGUAGGCCACAGCCGCCGCCGCCGCCGCCGCCUCCAUUGGAGAAUGCCCACUGAAUAGGAAUCGAUCCCUGUCUCCAUCAGGUACACUUACUUACCCUCAAUUUCCAUCUUCUUCACCCUAAUUCUUCAAUUGAUUCCCUUAUUUACUCAAUCAGGUACACUUUCAUUGAAUUUUGUGGUUACUUUUUUGUUUAAUUUGAAAGAUUUAGGGUUUCUUUUUUUGGGUUUGGGAUUUGGUGAGAAAUUACGUGAAUUAGGUCACUAAUUUCCAAUAAUUUAGAACAAUGAGGGGGUGAGUGUGCGUAAUAUUUUGCUAGGGAUUAUGAAUUUGUUUUUGUUAAUUUUGCGCAGAUUUUUUUUGUUCUGACAUUGUGUUCAUUUGAAUGUUCUGUUGCAGUGGUUUGGCUGAAUUGAGUCUCGUUUGGGAGUAAGAAGAUUUACUCCGAUGGCGAAUAUGCCGGAGAAAUUGAACCUGUGUAAGCUUGAUGCUCGCCGUGAACAAUGCCUUUCGCAAGGUCCUGCAUUCAUUUUCUUUUCUUUUUUUGAUUUUUACAGUUCUGUAUUUUUCUUGCAUAAAUUAAAUUGGAAUCUUGCAUCCACUAAUUAUCUAGAGCUUGCUCUCUUUUUUUCAUUCACAAUGAAUUUCCUGGGCCCUUUGAUUGUAUUGGCAUAUCUUUCCUUUUAUAUAUUGUGACUGUCAGGAAGACGUAGGAUAACCUUGGUUAUUAUGGGUGCUUCAUAUGUAACCAUAUCUAACUUGGAUGUUGGAUAACCUUUAUUUUUGGUUGUUUCUGGUUGGUAGUCUUUGUGAUGAUCAGUUGGGAAGUGUAUA